AUGCAAGUCGAGCGGAGUAUUACAACGGUGCUUGCACCGAUGUAAUUUUAGCGGCGGACGGGUGAGUAACACGUGGGUAAUCUGCCUUACACAUGGGAAUAACAACUGAGAAAUCAUCUGCUAAAACCCUAUAAGCUCACGCUGAGGCAUCUCAGAGUGAGAAAAUAUUAAUAGGUGUAAGAGGAGCCCGCGUCUGAUUAGCUAGUUGGUGAGGUAACGGCCCACCAAGGCGACGAUCAGUAGCCGACCUGAGAGGGUGACCGGCCACAUUGGGACUGAGACACGGCCCAAACUCCUACGGGAGGCAGCAGUGGGGAAUAUUGCACAAUGGGCGCAAGCCUGAUGCAGCAACGCCGCGUGAAGGAUGAAGGGUUUCGGCUCGUAAACUUCUUUAGGCAGGGAAGAAAAAAAUGACGGUACCUGCAGAAUAAGCCCCGGCUAACUACGUGCCAGCAGCCGCGGUAAUACGUAGGGGGCAAGCGUUAUCCGGAAUUACUGGGUGUAAAGGGUGAGUAGGCGGUUCGUUAAGUCAUAUGUGAAAGCCCGGGGCUUAACCCUGGGAUUGCAUGAGAAACUGGCGGACUAGAGUACAGGAGAGGUAAGCGGAAUUCCUAGUGUAGCGGUGAAAUGCGUAGAUAUUAGGAAGAACACCGGUGGCGAAGGCGGCUUACUGGACUGAAACUGACGCUGAGUCACGAAAGCGUGGGGAGCGAACAGGAUUAGAUACCCUGGUAGUCCACGCUGUAAACGAUGAGUGCUA
rnacentral:rRNA from 1 species